GGACUACAGGGGUAUCUAAUCCUGUUUGCUACCCACGCUUUCGUGCCUCAGCGUCAGUUAUGGUCCAGUAAGCUGUCUACACCACAGGUGUUCCUCCUGAUAUCUACGCAUUUCACCGCUACACCAGGAAUUCCGCUUACCUCUCCCACACUCAAGCCCUACAGUCUUCCGCGCACCCUCCCAGUUGAGCCGGGAGAUUUCACACGGAACUUAUAGGACCGCCUACGCACUCUUUACGCCCAGUAACUCCGAACAACGCUUGCUGCCUACGUAUUACCGCGGCGGCUGGCAC
rnacentral:rRNA from 1 species